rnacentral:rRNA from 1 species
UGAGGAAUAUUGCACAAUGGGCGCAAGCCUGAUGCAGCGACGCCGCGUGUGGGAUGAAGGGGCUACGCCUCGUAAACCACUGUAGCCCGGGACGAAAAACGCCUUAGAGGCGUUAGACGGUACCGGGAAAGUAAGGGUCGGCUAACUACGUGCCAGCAGCCGCGGUAAUACGUAGGACCCAAGCGUUGUCCGGAUUUACUGGGUGUAAAGGGUGCGCAGGCGGAUGGGUAAGUCAGGGGUGAAAGUCUGCAGCUUAACUGUAGAAUUUCCUUAGAUACGUCUCCUCUUGAGUGUGGGAGAGGUUGAUGGCAUUCCAGGUGUAGCAGUGAAAUGCGUAGAUAUCUGGAAUAACACCAGUGGCGAAGGCGGUCAACUGGCCCAUAACUGACGCUCAUGCACGAAAGCGUGUGGAGCAAACA